GUCUAUGGCUAUACCACCCUGAACACGCCUGAUCUCAUCUGAUCUUGGAAGCUAAGUAGGGUCAGGCCUGAUUAGUUCUUGCAUAGGAGAGCCCAGAAAUCAAUCCACA
rnacentral:rRNA from 1 species